CAUCCGACCACAGCUGCCAAAGAUGCCGGUCACCUGUUCGGUGUGUUUCAGCUCAGGGAUCAGCUGGUCUGUGAUGCCGGCAUGAUCCCUUCACAAAACGUCUGCAACAUGACCUGCUCUGCUUUGACUGACGAUGACAUCACUGAUGACAUCACCUGCCUGAAGACCCUGACAAACUUUAUGAAUGCAAAACCCAAAGAGGUCCUAUUUGAUGUAAAGAAGAUCGCGGAGAUGAUGUUGGUGGAGGAGUGUCGCUCUGUCGUUCCUCCAAACUACUUUGCUGAAUGCGUUUAAAACAGAUGGAGCAGACUCACUCAAGAUUAGAUUCUUCCUGCUGCAUUACUUACACACACAUCAGUCCGAUGCUUUCCAUGGCAGCUGUCUUUGAUUGAAUAAUAAUGAUGGUGGCGGGAGUUUAAAUGAGAGUCUGAAUAUAGGGAGUUUGUGCAUUAAGACACUUUAGUUCAUUACUGUAAUACUGUGAAUGUCUAAACAUAUAUCACUGUAUAAACCUAAAAAUAUAUCAUUGUAUAAUCCAAUAUGAUUGUGAUGCUGCUGAGAGCUUUUAAACACUGUCACUUUAUCAUA